rnacentral:rRNA from 1 species
CCUACGGGGGGCUGCAGUGGGGAAUAUUGGACAAUGGGGGGAACCCUGAUCCAGCCAUGCCGCGUGUGUGAAGAAGGCCCUCGGGUUGUAAAGCACUUUCAGUGAGGAAGAACGCCUGGUGGUUAAUACCCAUCAGGAAAGACAUCACUCACAGAAGAAGCACCGGCUAACUCCGUGCCAGCAGCCGCGGUAAUACGGAGGGUGCGAGCGUUAAUCGGAAUUACUGGGCGUAAAGCGCGCGUAGGUGGCUUGAUAAGCCGGUUGUGAAAGCCCCGGGCUCAACCUGGGAACGGCAUCCGGAACUGUCAAGCUAGAGUGCAGGAGAGGAAGGUAGAAUUCCCGGUGUAGCGGUGAAAUGCGUAGAGAUCGGGAGGAAUACCAGUGGCGAAGGCGGCCUUCUGGACUGACACUGACACUGAGGUGCGAAAGCGUGGGUAGCAAACAGGAUUAGAUACCCUUGUAUC